AUUGAACGCUGGCGGUAGGCCUAACACAUGCAAGUCGAACGGCAGCACAGUAAGAGCUUGCGCUUACGGGUGGCGAGUGGCGGACGGGUGAGGAAUACAUCGGAAUCUACUUUUUCGUGGGGGAUAACGUAGGGAAACUUACGCUAAUACCGCAUACGACCUACGGGUGAAAGCAGGGGAUCUUCGGACCUUGCGCGAUUGAAUGAGCCGAUGUCGGAUUAGCUAGUUGGCGGGGUAAAGGCCCACCAAGGCGACGAUCCGUAGCUGGUCUGAGAGGAUGAUCAGCCACACUGGAACUGAGACACGGUCCAGACUCCUACGGGAGGCAGCAGUGGGGAAUAUUGGACAAUGGGCGCAAGCCUGAUCCAGCCAUACCGCGUGGGUGAAGAAGGCCUUCGGGUUGUAAAGCCCUUUUGUUGGGAAAGAAAAGCAGCAGGUUAAUACCCCGCUGUUCCGACGGUACCCAAAGAAUAAGCACCGGCUAACUUCGUG
rnacentral:rRNA from 1 species